GAUGAACGCUGGCGGCGUGCCUAACACAUGCAAGUCGAGCGAACCCUUCGGGGUGAGCGGCGGACGGGUGAGUAACGCGUGGGUAACCUGACCUAUACACACGGAUAACGUACCGAAAGGUACGCUAAUACGGGAUAAAGUUGUUGGAUGGCAUCUUCUAACAAUCAAAGCUCCGGCGGUAUAGGAUGGACCCGCGUCUGAUUAGCUAGUUGGUGAGGUAAUGGCUCACCAAUGCGACGACCAGUAGCCGAACUGAGAGGGUGAUCGGCCACACUGGAACUGAGACACGGUCCAGACUCCUACGGGAGGCAGCAGUGGGGAAUAUUGCACAAUGGGCGAAAGCCUGAUGCAGCAACGCCGCGUGAGCGAUGAAGGUCUUCGGAUCGUAAAGCUCUGUCCUCAAGGAAGAUAAUGGCGGUACCUGAGGAGGAAGCCCCGGCUAACUACGUGCCAGCAGCCGCGGUAA
rnacentral:rRNA from 1 species